UACGAAGGGGGCUAGCGUUGCUCGGAAUCACUGGGCGUAAAGGGGUGCGUAGGCGGGUCUUUAAGUCAGGGGUGAAAUCCUGGAGCUCAACUCCAGAACUGCCUUUGAUACUGAAGAUCUUGAGUUCGGGAGAGGUGAGUGGAACUGCGGAGUGUAGAGGUGAAAUUCGUAGAUAUUCGCAAGAACACCAGUGGCGAAGGCGGCUCACUGGCCCGAUACUGACGCUGAGGCACGAAAGCGUGGGGAGCAAACAGG
rnacentral:rRNA from 1 species